AUUGAACGCUGGCGGCAGGCUUAACACAUGCAAGUCGAGCGCGCGGCGGACGGGUGAGUAAUGUCUGGGAAACUGCCUGAUGGAGGGGGAUAACUACUGGAAACGGUAGCUAAUACCGCAUACCAUCAAAUGUGCACAGAUGGGAUUAGCAAGUAGGUGGGGUAAUGGCUCACCUAGGCGACGAUCCCUAGCUGGUCUGAAAGGUUGACCAGCCACAGUGGAACUGAGACACGGUCCAGACUCCUACGGGAGGCAGCAGUGGGGAAUAUUGCAAAAUGGGGGCAAGCCGGAUGCAACCAUGCCGCGUGUGUGAAGAAGGCCUUCGGGUUGUAAAGCACUUUCAGCGAGGAGGCGUUACUCGCAGAAGAAGCACCGGCUAACUCCGGGCCAGCAGCCGCGGUAAUAC
rnacentral:rRNA from 1 species